ensembl:misc_RNA
UUGGCAGCCCUGGAGACUGAAGUCCUCUCUUCACCAGCAAAGCACGUCUGAGCCUGGCAGCGGCACUGCAAGCUUUUUUCCCCUGCUGAAGCACAUUCACCUUGCGUGUGGAGGAGGCCACCUCUGGGGGGUGAGAGGGGAAUUCAGUCUCCAUGGCCUGUCCCGCUCUCUGCUGAG